rnacentral:rRNA from 1 species
ACNGNAAUGCAAGUCGAGCGGUAACAGAAAGUAGCUUGCUACUUUGCUGACGAGCGGCGGACGGGUGAGUAAUGCUUGGGAACAUGCCUUGAGGUGGGGGACAACAGUUGGAAACGACUGCUAAUACCGCAUAAUGUCUACGGACCAAAGGGGGCUUCGGCUCUCGCCUUUAGAUUGGCCCAAGUGGGAUUAGCUAGUUGGUGAGGUAAUGGCUCACCAAGGCAACGAUCCCUAGCUGGUUUGAGAGGAUGAUCAGCCACACUGGAACUGAGACACGGUCCAGACUCCUACGGGAGGCAGCANUGGGGAAUAUUGCACAAUGGGCGCAAGCCUGAUGCANCCAUGCCGCGUGUGUGAAGAANGCCUUCNGGUUGUAAAGCACUUUCAGUCANGAGGAAAGGUUAGUAGUUAAUACCUGCUAGCUGUGACGUUACUGACANAAGAAGCACCGGCUAACUCCGUGCCAGCAGCCGCGGUAAUACGGAGGGUGCNAGCGUUAAUCGGAAUUACUGGGCGUAAAGC